rnacentral:rRNA from 1 species
CACGUAGGGUGCGAGCGUUGUCCGGAAUUAUUGGGCGUAAAGAGCUCGUAGGCGGUGUGUCGCGUCGGCCGUGAAAACCUGCAGCUUAACUGUGGGCUUGCGGUCGAUACGGGCAUCACUGGAGUUCGGCAGGGGAGACUGGAAUUCCUGGUGUAGCGGUGAAAUGCGCAGAUAUCAGGAAGAACACCCGUGGCGAAGGCGGCUCUCUGGAACGCGACUGACGCUGAGGCGCGAAAGCGUGGGGGGCAAACAGG